CCGUCUCAGCUGCUGCUAGCGAUCGGGUUUUCUGCAUAAAUACGUGCUGGAGAUGUGCAUCAUCGUCCACAUAAGUCUUAGUUUGAAUGUAUCUUGUGUUGUGUGCGUCCUAUAUGAAGAAACCACACCCUCCAUCGCAAUCAUACAUUUCAUGCUUCAUCUGAUAAGCACUAAGCUUUCUCAAGGAGACCAGAUUCUUUAAAGACUGUGCUUAAGUUUCGCCUCUAACAGGCUCACGCCUCCAGUCAUUCUCAGCAACCCGUGUCUGCUCAUCUGCAGCGGCCUCAGAGUUCAUCCUUGUCACAACACCUUAUCCACUGGGUGUUCAUUGCAGUCCUCAAGCUUUUUGGACCACAUCUUGUUAGUAGACACGGACUGAUGUGCAUGUAAAGGCUGACUCCCCCUCUGAGUUGAUCAUACCAUAUCUGUGAAAAUAAACCUGUUCAAACU